rnacentral:rRNA from 1 species
UACGGAGGGUGCAAGCGUUAUCCGGAUUUACUGGGUUUAAAGGGUGUGUAGGCGGACUUUUAAGUCAGGGGUGAAAUCCCGAGGCUCAACCUCGGAACUGCCUUUGAUACUAUUGGUCUUGAAUGUUGUUGAGGUGGGCGGAACGGGUCAUGUAGCGGUGAAAUGCAUAGAUAUGACCCGGAACACCGAUUGCGAAGGCAGCCCGCUAAGCAACUAUUGACGCUGAGGCACGAAAGCGUGGGGAGCGAACAGG